rnacentral:rRNA from 1 species
CCUACGGGUGGCAGCAGUAGGGAAUCUUCCACAAUGGGCGAAAGCCUGAUGGAGCAACGCCGCGUGAGUGAAGAAGGUCUUCGGAUCGUAAAACCCUGUUGUUAGAGAAGAAAGUUCGUGAGAGUAACUGUUCACGUUUCGACGGUAUCUAACCAGAAAGCCACGGCUAACUACGUGCCAGCAGCCGCGGUAAUACGUAGGUGGCUAGCGUUAUCCGGAUUUAUUUGGCGUAAAGGGAAAGCAGGCGGUCUUUUAAGUCUGAUGUGAAAGCCUUCGGCUUAACCGGAGAAGUGCAUUGGAUACUGGGAGACUUGAGUGCAGAAGAGGAGAGUGGAACUCCAGGUGUAGCGGUGAAAUGCUUAGAUAUAUGGAAGAACGCCGGUGGCGAAGGCGGCUCUCUGAUCUGUAACUGACGCUGAGGUUCGAAAGCGUGGGUAGCAAACAGGAUUAGAUACCCCAGUAGUC